AAGAAUAAGAAGAAGAACAGAAGAAAAAAGGAUCAAUCAUGUGAGCCUUCUAGUAGUAACUCCAAGAAGGAUGGAGCCAUUUGUUCUUCUUCCUCAAGUCAUAGUUCAGAAAUAAAAGAUGGUACUGAAGACUCUUUUGCAUCAAAGGUUGAGUUUGAAGAUGCCGAUAUUGACGAUGAAUUAGAUCCUGUGAUGAAGGAAGAACUUGAUAGGGA
rnacentral:misc_RNA from 1 species